AUUGAACGCUGGCGGCAUGCUUUACACAUGCAAGUCGAACGGUAACAGGCCGCAAGGUGCUGACGAGUGGCGAACGGGUGAGUAAUGCAUCGGAACGUGCCCAGUCGUGGGGGAUAACGCAGCGAAAGCUGCGCUAAUACCGCAUACGAUCUAUGGAUGAAAGCGGGGGACCGUAAGGCCUCGCGCGAUUGGAGCGGCCGAUGUCAGAUUAGGUAGUUGGUGGGGUAAAGGCUCACCAAGCCAACGAUCUGUAGCUGGUCUGAGAGGACGACCAGCCACACUGGGACUGAGACAAGGCCCAGACUCCUACGGGAGGCAGCAGUGGAGAAUUUUGGACAAUGGGCGCAAGCCUGAUCCAGCAAUGCCGCGUGCAGGAAGAAGGCCUUCGGGUUGUAAACUGCUUUUGUACGGAACGAAACGGUCCUGGUUAAUACCUGGGGCUAAUGACGGUACCGUAAGAAUAAGCACCGGCUAACUACGUGCCAGCCGCCGCCGUAA
rnacentral:rRNA from 1 species